rnacentral:rRNA from 1 species
UACGUAGGUGGCGAGCGUUAUCCGGAAUGAUUGGGCGUAAAGGGUGCGUAGGUGGCAGAUCAAGUCUGGAGUAAAAGGUAUGGGCUCAACCCGUACUGGCUCUGGAAACUGAUCAGCUAGAGAACAGAAGAGGACGGCGGAACUCCAUGUGUAGCGGUAAAAUGCGUAGAUAUAUGGAAGAACACCGGUGGCGAAGGCGGCCGUCUGGUCUGGAUUCUGACACUGAAGCACGAAAGCAUGGGGAGCAAAUAGG